rnacentral:tRNA from 1 species
UGCUUUGUAUUCAAUUAUGAUUUUGUAUUGCAAAUACAUUGGUGCAGUUUUGCCAAGGCUU